UGUCUCCUACGGGAGGCAGCAGUGAGGAAUAUUGGUCAAUGGGCGGGAGCCUGAACCAGCCAAGCCGCGUGAGGGAAGAAGGUACAGCGUAUCGUAAACCUCUUUUGUCAGGGAACAAAGGCGGGGACUAGUCCCCGGAUGAGGGUACCUGAAGAAGAAGCCCCGGCUAACUACGUGCCAGCAGCCGCGGUAAUACGUAGGGGGCAAGCGUUAUCCGGAUUUACUGGGUGUA
rnacentral:rRNA from 1 species